rnacentral:rRNA from 1 species
UACGUAGGGGGCAAGCGUUGUCCGGAUUUAUUGGGCGUAAAGCGCGUGUAGGCGGCCAUACAGGUCCGUUGUGAAAACUCGAGGCUCAACCUCGAGACGUCGAUGGAAACCGUAUGGCUAGAGUCCGGAAGAGGAGAGCGGAAUUCCUGGUGUAGCGGUGAAGUGCGCAGAUAUCAGGAAGAACACCCGUGGCGAAGGCGGCUCUCUGGGACGGUACUGACGCUGAGACGCGAAAGCGUGGGGAGCGAGCCGG